GCGGGUGUGGCGAAAUUGGCAGACGCACCAGAUUUAGGUUCUGGCGCCGAGAGGCGUGGGGGUUCAAGUCCCUUCACCCGCA
rnacentral:tRNA from 2 species